CCACUCUUGGUGACUGAGUCUGAAUGCUAGGAAACCCUGAAAACACGAGGAGAAAUGAUGACCACUCCAAGAAAGAUACUGGAAAAAAGAAUUUUGUUGUUGAUAAAGCACUUAGAAUGAAAAGAUAAAUUUAGGAAGUAUAUAAAAAUCAGACUGGAGAACUACCACAAAAGCAAAGUUGUUUAUGCCUACUACCAAGUGGGGAGCAGCUCUUUGUAGGAUUUUCAAGAUUUUGUAUUAAGAUAGAGUGGGAAAGAGAUAGAGAGAAGGAGACAGAGAGAAAUCUACAUGAGAGGGGCACACCGACAUUUCUUCCUACAUGACCCUGACCAGGGUCAGGGACAAACUGCAA